rnacentral:lncRNA from 1 species
AGCACAUAGCACUGGCUGGUUAUAAAGGACUUGUCUAGGGGAGAGCCUGUAGGUACUCCAUUGUCUGAUGGAUCUGAGAACGCUGUCUGGGCUUGGUACCAAGAGCUGGUAUUUCACAGCAGCGACCGCCUCACAGACGAGCUGUGGGAAGCAGGAGGGAGACUCUCUCUUAGGGUGCCACUACUAUGGAGACACAGCUGGGCUGAACAAGAUUUGCUUCAAACGACAACAAGAGAGACAGAAAGUAUCUGGUUCAACCGCUGCCCGAGCAGGCAGGCACCAGAAGAGCUAGCAGCCAAUCCGGCCAUGCUCGAAGCCAGCUCUGCAGCUCAGCCAAUCAGUGACAUCAUUGCUUUCUUUAGCUUGCCCAUGGUGAUGUGAAGAUGAGAAGAAAUAGCAAGGCCCAACCAGUUCUUCAUCUGGAGACAGUUCAACGUUCUGCAAACCAGAUCUUCAGGAAUUUUACUGGGAUAAUUAUCCAAAUAAAUUGCAAGCAUUCUAUCCAAAUGGAGCUCUUUCUGAGAUGAAGAGAAUUCUCAAUGUCAAGAUUUGAACAAGAAGAGAAUGGAAUACACAAUAUGGACAUCCAUAAAAAUUCAUCAGAGAGCAUUUUACUACUGAGCUGCAAAGGUAGGAAAAAUAAAUUUUUUUUGGUUAGAAAAUAUACUUCUUUCAUCUGCGUUUCAAUAAUUUAUUCCCCUUGUUAGAUAUACAUGGAAUUGAUAUUGCUUAUUCUGACUAAGUGAAAAGUGUUAUUUCUACUUACUGCUCAAUUAGAAACAUGUAGUGUUUAAUUGUCAGUUUGAAUUUUUCUUUCAUACUAUUACAGUUUAUAUUUUACUAUAGGCAGAAUUUCCUCUUUAUCCUAAAUUUUGAUAUUCUCCAUAAUUUCAUCGUGCCUUGACAUUGCUGUAUAUAAUUUCUAUACAUCAGGAAGGCAAUUCUGUGUGCAUGUGUGUGUGUAUAUAUAUAGUUAGAAGUUAGAAACUGAAACUCUUUUUUGUCUACCAUCAUUUCAUAUUUUUCUUGCUAUUUCAAACCUAUAAUUUUUAAAGAAACGACUAACGUAAUCAUUCAUAGAAUAUGCUGUCAGUAACUUAACAAUAUAAAUGUUAACAUGGAGGCAUUUAGUUCAGCAUUUGCUUUACUUAAUAGAGUGCAGAAAAUGUGGCCCUUUUCUCAGUUAGGGUGUAUGUGAAGAUAAAUUUAGAAUUUCUAGACUAGUAAAUACUUCUCUGAUAAUAACUUAAUUAUAGCUAUUUCAAACCAAAUUGUUUAAUUGUGGUGAAUCAUAUGUAAAUUGUUCAGAUGUAGGUCAACACCCACGCCCACAUUCUAGCACCUCUUUCCUAAUUCAAGACAACUUUGCAGUGCCUAAAAGAGCUGAACAGUGCAGAUUAGAGACAUAAGACAAAAAAAAAAAAAAAACACAAAACAAUGGUA